AUUGAACUCUGGCGGCAGGCCUAACACAUGCAAGUCGAGCGAGCGGCGGCCGGGUGAUUAAUGUAUGGGGACUGCCCGCUCGAGGGUGAUAACUCCUUGAAACGGUAGCUAAUAACGCAUACUAUCGGAUAACCCAUAUGGGAUUAGCGAGUAGGUGAGGUAAUGGCUCACCUAGGCGACGAUCCCUAGCUGGUGUUCGAGGAUGAUCAUCAAUACUGGGACGUAGAAACGGCCUAGACUGCUACGGAGGCAGCAGUGGGUAAUAUUGUGCAAUGGGCGAAAGCCUGAAGAAGCCAUGCAGCGUGUAUGAAGAUGUACUUCGGGUUGUAAAGUACUUUCAGUCGGGAGGCGUUACAGACAGAAGAAGCAUAGGCUAACUCCGGGCCAGCAGCCGCGGUAAUAC
rnacentral:rRNA from 1 species